CCUACGGGUGGCAGCAGUGAGGAAUAUUGGUCAAUGGGCGAGAGCCUGAACCAGCCAAGUCGCGUGAGGGAGUACUGCCCUAUGGGUUGUAAACCUCUUUUGUCGGGGAGCAAAAGCCGGACGUGUCCGGCUGUGAGAGUACCCGAAGAAAAAGCAUCGGCUAACUCCGUGCCAGCAGCCGCGGUAAUACGGAGGAUGCGAGCGUUAUCCGGAUUUAUUGGGUUUAAAGGGUGCGCAGGCGGAUUUUUAAGUCAGCGGUAAAAUCGUGGGGCUCAACCCCAUCCAGCCGUUGAAACUGGGGAUCUAGAGUGUGCGAGAGGUAUGCGGAAUGCGUGGUGUAGCGGUGAAAUGCGUAGAUAUCACGCAGAACCCCGAUUGCGAAGGCAGCAUACCGGUGCACAACUGACGCUCAGGCACGAAAGCGUGGGUAUCGAACAGGAUUAGAUACCCUAGUAGUC
rnacentral:rRNA from 1 species